CUACACAGACUCAUUUCAUAUCAUCCUCCACUCACUAUCACAAGGGUUAGUAACUAUAGACUCAUUUCAUAUCAUCCUCCAUUCACUAUCACAAGGGUUAGUAACUACAGACUCAUUUCAUAUCAUCCUCCACUCACUAUCACAAGGGUUAGUAACUACAGACUCAUUUCAUAUCAUCCUCCAUUCACUAUCACAAGGGUUAGUAACUACAGACUCAUUUCAUAUCAUCCUCCACUCACUAUCACAAGGGUUAGUAACUACACAGACUCAUUUCAUAUCAUCCUCCACUCACUAUCACAAGGGUUAGUAACUACAGACUCAUAUCAUCCUCCACUCACUAUCACAAGGGUUAGAAACUAUACAGACCUCACUUCAUAGAACUUUAAAAACACUGGCAGUUUGUCUACUUCACUUCUUUAUUCUACUCUCUGAACACUCCAGAUAGCUCAGUUAAUAAAACAAAUGCUGACAAUAUUGGUGUCAAACCAUGAAAGUGUCAGUAGCAUGAAAUAAACAUCUACCUUCUCAUUGAAACAGUUCAUCAUGAAACAGUUCUACAGCAACUUUUCAUACACAGUGGGAAUUUGGAAUGAACAACAAAAUUAGACAGAACCUGCCCUUACCAUGAGAAACAGAUUUCCCGAUCUUCUCCUCCUCUUCUUCAUCUUUAAUGUUGACAUUCAGCUCCAGUGUUUGACUGCAGUCUUCCAGCUUCACUGAUGCCAUCUCUGGAUCCUGCAGUACAAACUGGGCUCCACUGUCACAAUCAGGACCCAGUGACUGUAGGUUUGGACUCAGUGUGGAAGGAGAGAGGCAGGCUGGGUUUGUCCUCACUGUUGAUGUUACCGGCCUCAUACCUGAGUCGGCAAGUAGUAGAAGAGAAACAGACCCAAAAGUUAUUUUAUUGAAAGUUCUGGCAAGGUCUUUCUUCUCUAUAAAAUAUAUUCUAUUUUUUCUUGUUCAAUUAUCUAAUUCAGUGCUUCACUUGGACUGAAAUAGUUGUCGAUACUCAUUUUGGGUGCCGCUACUGUUUAUAUUUAAGUGCAGGAGCUCCACAAUACUUUUGAGAUAAUACUUAACCUGUAGUAGAUAAAUGCAUAAAAGACUCAAACCAUUUAGUACAAGGUUACGGUUUGUUUUAGGCAUCACUAUGUGACAUUUUAAUUGAUAACCUUUAUUCACUGUUUUACUUCAAAAAACAAUUGUAUUUCCUGUUCACACCAUAGUAACGUUUAUAGAUAAAGACAAACUGAAUGUGUCAAUAUUAUUAUACAUGUAGUAAACCGAUAAUCAUUACAUUCAGCUUCAAAACAGUAGAGCAAC
rnacentral:lncRNA from 1 species